CGCGCCCUCGCCCUGGCCCCUCCGAGCCUCCGACUAGUCCUUGCAACUUCGGGGCCUGGCCACCGGGAAAAGUUGGCCCGUGCCAGCUGGCCGACGGGGAUCAAACAGGCCUCAGAUGAGCUGUAAAGCAGCUGAGGGCAUCUGCUCUCAAGAGGCAUCUCCAGGAGAGACACAGAAACCCAAACAGAUGUGACUGUGAUGAGUAAAAAUGAGAGAAUUCAGACAGCCUAUAUCAGGAGCAGCCUCAGUACCUUCUGCGCAGGAAGGAAUUGGCCGUCUUUCUGAAACUCCGAAAAUGAGAGAUUUCAAACACCCGUCCUUCGUGAAGACACCUCGCAGGAUCGGGGCAGGAGAACCUGCUGAAUUCAGAAGAAAUGGUAUCCUCUAGAUUCCAAGGAGGGGAUGAAGGACAGGCUAUGAACCCUUCAUGGGAGCAGCGACCUCCUCGUACCCCCCCCAGGAAAAAAGCAUCGUAUCUCCGAAGACAAAGGGACACCAAGAAGAAUCCUGACAGGCCUUGCUAAGCUUCCCCUGGUUUCCCACACUUACCUUAUACUCCUUGGCCUAUCAUACGUUUACAAGACAGCCCUUUCUUCAUCAAACCUCGUGCGAAGAUAACUCGGGUCUAAUUGUUUCCUUGGGCCUUCAUUUCAUUUUGAAGGCAGUUACCUAACACUUUUCAUGAAAUUAUUCUGCAUGUUCUUUCUUGUUAAUUUGUCUUUUGUCUAAUUUUCAGAGCCAGCCAGGGACCCUAGGAGGGUUGAGGAAGCUCUUUCUUUCCCGACCCUUUCACGGGCUCGGACAGCUCCUCUGAGCUCCAUAUAUGGAUAGUUCCACCCCAGUGGCACUCAGGACCUCAGAAUCCCGAGCCAAUCCUAAACAGACCUCAUCUCGCAAAACGGAUUCCUCCUCUCUUAUUCCAUGUGGCCAUUAAGUUUGUUGCUUAUAUCCUACCCCUUUCUGGAUUCAUUCACCGUCUCACCCGAGCCAGAGACUCGGGUGUUAGCCUGAAUUCUUCCUUUCCCAACCUCACUUCCAAAGAGUAACCAAGUACCGCAAGUCCUACCUUCCUACGAUGUUUUCUUAAUCCCUAUUGUUAAAACUUUCACCUAGGCCCAUUUCCUUUCUUGCCUGAAUUUUACCACAGCCUCCUCUGUGGCCUGUGAUCAAACUGCUGUGCUCGCUGCGACGAUUCUAACGGACAAGUCUGAUCCUGCCAGGACCUGUUCACAAGUCUCAGUGGCCCUCCACUUACAAGCCCUCCGUUACCUGGCCCCGGACUUCCCUGUCACCCUUACAUCCUGCGUCAGACACACCGUAUUUCAGACGCGCCAAAGUACUUACCUUUCCCCAAGCACCCCCAUCCAGCCCUUUAGCCGCUCCAACUACCGUACCUGUGAAAAUUCUGUUCCCUCUUGCUCGGCAAACUCUUUAAGAUCUACCUGUGGCAUCAUCUCCUCUGGGAAAUCUUCCCCAACCAUCCCCGAGUAAAGACACUUUCCACUUC